AUGGAGGAAGUGGCGCUUGCUAGCUUGCGACUGGCGGUAUCUCCAAUCUUGAAGGAGCUCAUCACUAAAGCUUCAACAUACCUUGGUGUUGACUUGACGCGUGAGCUCCAUCAACUGGAGACCACCAUCAUGCCGCAGUUCGAGUUGAUGAUUCAAGCUGCUAACAAGCGCAACCAGAGGGCCAUGCUGGACAAAUGGAUCCAGGAGCUCAAAGACGCCUUGUACAAGGCUGAGGACCUGUUGGAUGACAAAGAGUACAACUUUCUCAAGCGCAAAGCAAAGGGCAAGAAGGAUUCCUCCACCAACACUGCUUUGAAGCCUUGGCAUGCUAUGUCGAGCAUGUUGUCCAAUCUGUGCCCGGAGAACAGAAAGCUACAUUUCCGGCUCCUCUUCAUUGCAGUGAAAUAG
rnacentral:rRNA from 1 species